CGGGGGAGCGUUCGCGCUUCCGCCGGCGACUGGCGCACGGGUGAGUAACACGUAUGGAACCUGCCCGCAGCAGGGGGAUAAUCGGGGGAAACCCCGUCUAAUACCGCGUAACGACCCGGAGGGGCAUCCCUUCGGGUCCAAAGGUUUACCGGCUGCGGAUGGCCAUGCGUCGCAUUAGCUGGUUGGCGGGGUAACGGCCCACCAAGGCGACGAUGCGUAGGGGUUCUGAGAGGAAGGUCCCCCACACUGGUACUGAGACACGGACCAGACUCCUACGGAAGGCAGCAG
rnacentral:rRNA from 1 species